GUGCCAGCCGCCGCGGUAAUACCGGCAGCCCGAGUGAUGACCGAUCUUAUUGGGCCUAAAGCGUCCGUAGCCAGCCGAACAAGUCCGUUGGGAAAUCCACGCGCUCAACGCGUGGGCGUCCAGCGGAAAUUAUCCGGCUUGGGGCCGGAAGACUCGAGGGGUACGUCCGGGGUAGGAGUGAAAUCCCGUAAUCCUGGACGGACCACCGGUGGCGAAAGCGCCUCGAGAAGACGGACCCGACGGUGAGGAACGAAAGCCAGGGUCUCGAACCGGAUUAGAUACCCGAGUAGUCC
rnacentral:rRNA from 1 species